GUGCCAGCAGCCGCGGUAAUACGUAGGGAGCAAGCGUUGUCCGGAUUCACUGGGUGUAAAGGGUGCGCAGGCGGAUUCGUAAGUCAGGGGUGAAAUCUCACAGCUUAACUGUGAAACUGCCCUUGAUACUGCAGAUCUUGAGUUCGGGAGAGGUUGAUGGAAUUCCAGGUGUAGCGGUGAAAUGCGUAGAUAUCUGGAAGAACACCAGUGGCGAAGGCGGUCAACUGGCCCGUAACUGACGCUCAGGCACGAAAGCGUGGGUAGCGAACAGGAUUAGAUACCCUGGUAGUCC
rnacentral:rRNA from 1 species